AGAGCGAACGCUGGCGGCGUGCCUAACACAUGCAAGUCGCACGAGAAAGGGGCUUCGGCCCUGAGUAAAGUGGCGCACGGGUGAGUAACACGUGAAUUAUCUACCUCCGAGUGGGGAAUAACUGAGGGAAAUCUUAGCUAAUACCGCAUAACACUUACGAGUCAAAGCAGCAAUGCGCUUGGAGAGGAGUUCGCGGCCGAUUAGUUAGUUGGCGGGGUAAUGGCCCACCAAGACGAUGAUCGGUA
rnacentral:rRNA from 1 species